CCUACGGGUGGCAGCAGUGAGGAAUAUUGGUCAAUGGACGAGAGUCUGAACCAGCCAAGUAGCGUGAAGGAUGACUGCCCUAUGGGUUGUCAACUUCUUUUAUAUGGGAAUAAAAUGUUCCACGUGUGGGCUUUUGUAUGUACCAUAUGAAUAAGGAUCGGCUAUCUCCGUGCCAGCAGCCGCGGUAAUACGGAGGAUCCGAGCGUUAUCCGGAUUUAUUGGGUUUAAAGGGAGCGUAGGUGGAUUGUUAAGUCAGUUGUGAAAGUUUGCGGCUCAACCGUAAAAUUGCAGUUGAAACUGGCAGGCUUGAGUACAGUAGCGGUGGGCGGAAUUCGUGGUGUAGCGGUGAAAUGCUUAGAUAUCACGAAGAACUCCGAUUGCGAAGGCAGCUCACUGGACUGCAACUGACACUGAGGCUCGAAAGUGUGGGUAUCAAACAGGAUUAGAUACCCGUGUAGUC
rnacentral:rRNA from 1 species